rnacentral:lncRNA from 1 species
CUUCAGGUUCCUCUUGUUGACAAUGAGGAUAACAGGUACACCGGCUGUUCAGGGUUGCGUGGUCAUGCAAUGAUGUCCCUGUAAAUCACAGGGCACAAAGCUGGAUGCAUGUUAAGGGCUCCAUCAGAUUGGCCACUUACGUUUGCUCUAAGACGUACCUUGUAAGUUUCCAUUGUGAUCGAAGUCACUAGGCUCCACCAGAAACGCAGGGCUGGUACACAGGCAUUCAUAUUUAAAAACCAUUUCCCCCAGGAGAUUCUACAUGCCUGAUCCGAUUCAACUCCCUCAUUUACAGAAAGACAAAGUCUGUACCUCCCUGAGCAGCUGUGGAUUAAGAGAUGUGAUGAUGGUGGGGCUAGAGAUAUGGCUCAACGGUGAAAAGACUUGUAUUCGGCUCCCAACAUCCUCUUCAAGGUCCCAAGCAGCUCUGUACAGGGAAGAUGCACAUCUGCCUUCUGUGAGAAUGAAGGGGGGAAAAAGCAGACUUGGAACACCCAUUACCAG